rnacentral:tRNA from 1 species
UCAUAUUUGAUAUAGUAGCUAAAAUAUUUCUUUUAGAAGGAGAGAGAGGGAUUCGAACCCUCGGUACGAA